UGCAGAGAGUAUCUGGCUAGCUUGCUGAGAUCAGUUCAAUUUCAAGAAAAGGAGAAAUUGAAUUUACUAUGUCAUCCUGUUUUCGACGGCCCUCAGAAUGCUUGGUAAGCCAUGAAAACUGCAGAUAUACGGGGCACAAAUGCAUGCACAUCCAGCAAAUAACUGAGGAAUCUGGAACCGAGGAGGCUGAGCCCGAUUCUGGAUAUGAUAAUGCCCUCGAGGAAGCUGUUAAAGGUAUGCAAGACGCGGUCAUUUCUAUAAACGAAUACUUGGAAGAAGUCCGGUAUGAGAUUGCAGCACUGGAAGAGGAAUAACACUCUUUCUUUUGGUGGUGCAAGUGCAAGGGUGAUUCCUUGGCGACGAGGACGAAAGUCACGGAACAAAGUAAAACAUAUUCAAGCUACCCUGUGGGCUAGACUUGGGAUAAUGAAUAGCUAAAAAAGAAGACAAAAUUUGAAGCACAAUUUUGAAGGCAUUUGUAGGAGAGUGUUCAUGUUUUUAUGUUUUGUAUAAACAUACGUGAAUUUUUGCCAAUGUCACAACCAAAGAAAAAUGGGUCGGAAUACUAUUAUAUGAUUGCUGAAAUUUAGAUCUCAUGAUGAUAAAACUAGCUCCAAAAUUGACAAAUGUUUGUUCA